rnacentral:lncRNA from 1 species
CAUCAGCAAGGAGGACGAGGCCGGGGGCUCAGCCCCCACCGUCGCACCCGCCCGGCCUUUGUUCUCUUCCAGUCGUCACCUGGGCCUCUACCACAGGAAUCAUGCAGCCUUCACAGAGGAGGAAACAAGCUGAGAAGGAGGAUGCUUGGUCAAGCUUGCAAAACAGGAACCUUUAGACUCCCACCUGCACCCCUGUCCCCACUAUAAAUAUACUCAGAAAGAGUGGUCCCU